rnacentral:lncRNA from 1 species
GUUGAUGGCACAUAGCUACCAGGAUUAUGAGGGUGACAUCGCAGGGAAGGGGCUGUGUGUGUGGAGGGGCCAGCACUGCACAGGACGUCAGCCAUUGAAGGGUCCUCUGAUGUAAAAAUAGGAAUUGUGACCUGAGUAAUUAAUGAGACACUGGCUGUCCUGAAUGUGCAGCUAGUAAAAAAGUUGUGUAGCAGGAAGAAGCUUGGUUUUUCCAUAACGGGAUUUUGGCUGCUGCAUAAGAGAAUUGGCUGGAAGAAGCACCAUUCGCAAGCGCUUACUGUCAAGAAGUAAGAAGCACAAAGCACUUACCAUCAAGUAAGAGGGACAGGACUCCCAGUAAGGGGGUAGCAGAGAGAUGGCGGCAAGUGGACAGAUGCAUGAUACACUUGGGAGGCGACACUGACAGAACAUGUCUCUGCGGAUGUGCAAGAAGAAUUAGGGGAAGAAGAUC